rnacentral:lncRNA from 1 species
GAGCUCUGAGGUCAGUGAGGGCCUUCUCUGGUCUGUUUUCACAUGUCACUGCAUUCAAGAGUGCAAGGGGACUUUCAAACUCAGGCCCCUUGAGUCCCACGCCAGCCCACUGCUCCCGGACUACUGAGCACACAGCAGAGAGGAAGCAGCUGCCUGCAGGGAUGGGCCUGGCUGUCACCUGUCCAGGCUGCAGCCAAUCGUUUCUCCAAACAGGCUGCGACAGGAGACCUGGAUAGUGGGAAUUUCACAGCCAGAAAAUACUGGGACACCCCCAUCACAACCAAGCCUUUCCUGGGAGCGAUGAAACAGCUGAGGGCACAGCGGGCAGAUGCUGGCCACCACUGUCCCAAGCUGGGGCUCCCGGCAUGAGGCCACCUCCUCCACACCCCACCCCAGCCAUGAUGGCACGAGCCCCUUCCACGAGCGCAGAAUCUGCACACGUGCCUCAGGGCAGGAAUCUGAAUUCGGGGAAAAACAUGACUCAAUCUGGUAAAGAAAAAGGUAACGGUAAUUUUCCAGAAGAUGACCAGAUACAGUGUAAAUCCCAGGACCCAGCAUCAAAGGUCUUUGCGCAAAUCAAGCCCAGGUCUCUGGUGCCAGGAUGCUAUUCUCGGGGCGCCUGGCUGACCUCCCUGCAGCAGUUUCCAACUUCGAGAAAGCAUGGCCCAUCCCUAAUCCUCAGCAUGGUCACCUGGCCAAUCCCAGUCGUCCACCUCAACUGUGUUUGUCAGGGACAAAUAUUUAGAUGUUCUAUGCAUCUGUGGGGUAAUCGGAGUGUUCACAGUCUGGAGGGAAGGUUCACAGAGGUGAAUGAGCCCAGUUUCUGUUCAGGUGCCAGUGGGUCCUGUAAUCGAAAGACCCUUAACCAGUUACACUGGUCCAGCCCAACAGGGUGGGGGUCUCCUCUGGGAGUGAUGAAAAUCUUUUGGAACUAGGAGGAGGGUGGCUGGGCAACACUGUGGAUGUCACUAAUGCCACCAACUUGUGCACCUUAAAAAGGCUGCGUUGUGUGAAUUUCAGCUGUGUUUUUUUUUUUUA